CAGAUUUAUUAGGAGAAAAACAUAGUAUUUAACCACUUGCUAUAUUAGGAAGAAACGGUUUGGUACUUAGAGGAUUUAACUAGAUUUCAAUAAGGAAAAUAAUGCUGUAAUGAAUAACGUAAUUGAUGACAAUGAAAGACUUGAAAUGAAGACUUUGAAAACAAUUUUGGUCCAUCAAAUAUUCUUGCGCCUGUUGAAAAUGUACAAACUGUAAAAACAAAUAAACUACAAAAUUAAUAAAAAUAGAAUAUGACAAAC